UCUGCCUGGUAGUGGGGGAUAACGUCCGGAAACGGGCGCUAAUACCGCGUACGUCCUACGGGAGAAAGCAGGGGAUCUUCGGACCUUGCGCUACCAGAUGAGCCCAGGCCGGAUUAGCUUGUUGGUGAGGUAAUGGCUCACCAAGGCGACGAUCCGUAACUGGUCUGAGAGGAUGAUCAGUCACACUGGAACUGAGACACGGUCCAGACUCCUACGGGAGGCAGCAGUGGGGAAUAUUGGACAAUGGGGGCAACCCUGAUCCAGCCAUGCCGCGUGUGUGAAGAAGGUCUUCGGAUUGUAAAGCACUUUAAGUUGGGAGGAAGGGCUUGCGGUUAAUACCUGUAAGUUUUGACGUUACCGACAGAAUAAGCACCGGCUAACUCUGUGCCAGCAGCCGCGGUAAUACAGAGGGUGCAAGCGUUAAUCGGAAUUACUGGGCGUAAAGCGCGCGUAGGUGGUUCAGUAAGAUGGAAGUGAAAUCCCCGGGCUCAACCUGGGAACUGCUUUCAUAACUGCUGGGCUAGAGUACGGUAGAGGGUAGUGGAAUUUCCUGUGUAGCGGUGAAAUGCGUAGAUAUAGGAAGGAACACCAGUGGCGAAGGCGACUACCUG
rnacentral:rRNA from 1 species